rnacentral:lncRNA from 10 species
GUCUGAUCAAAGGAUGGCACCCAGUACAUGUGCUGAAUGACUGAAUAGGGGCAGAGUCCCUUCCUGGUCCUGAAACGUGGAAAUUGAUUAUAGCACCAUGCAGGAGUUUCCCCACCCAGUGAGCUGGGGCAGAAGAGGGUCUCACUUUGUCACCCAGGCUGGAAUGCAGUGGCACAAUGUCGGUUCACUUCAACCUCAACCUCCCAGGCUCAAGUGAUCCUCCCACCUCAGUCUCCCAAAAAUCAGCAAAAGGUCCUGGGGUAUCCUCUGUGUGGAAAAUAACCAUGAUGCAUCUUCAGUGUUGUAGUCUGACUCUAUCACCCAGGCUGGAGUGCAGUGUGGCUGGAGGUGAAGUUCAGAGAUACGGUGUCUUUCCUGAGUUGUGCAGCUCACGCAUGGAGGGAUCAGGAUGGGAACUGAAGCCUGCAUGGCUCAAAGUCUUUGCUUUGAAGUGCUGCAAAUAUGGCUUCCUGAGGAGGACUGCCCUGGACUGCAAAUUUGUAUUACACAGACAAUACCUUUUCCCAGUGCCUUCUUCUGGACUUAUGUCUAUGUAUUUAGUAAAUAACUUAUGAGUUUGUUUUUAAAAAACCUAUUGAGGGCUGGGCAUGGUGGCUCAUGCCUGUAAUCCCAGCACUUUGGGAGGCCGAGGCGGGUGAUCACUUGAGGUCAGUAGUUCGAGACCCACCUGGACAACAUAGUGAAACCCUGUCUCUACUAAGAAUAUAAAAAUUAGCUGGGUAUGGUGGCACACGCCUGUAAUCCCAGCUACUCAGGAGGCUGAGGCAGGAGAAUCACUUGAAGCCAGGAGGCGGAGGUUGCAGUGAGCCGAGAUCGUGCCACUGCACUCCAGCCUGGGCGACAGAGUGACUCUGUCUCAAAAAAACAAAACAAAACAAAACAAAAAAGCAAAAAACAAAACAAAACAAAAAAAACUAUUGAAAUGUUUUACAGGGAGAGGAAUAGGAGAUUAAGGGGAAAUGCUACUUGCUGGAGGCCAGUGGAGAGGUAAAGAGGUUGGUUACAAUGGCUCAGCAACCUCACUUGGUUUGCCUGGCCUGCAAUUACUGGGAACAUAGAAUGAGGUAACUCAUCAUAGAGGACAACUGUUAAAUGGACAAGGAUGAGGGGAAAACAUCUGUUGUACAAAAUUACUUGUUGUGAAAUACUUGUAAUAAACUACUUGUUGUGAAAUACUUGUAAUAAAUUUAUAAAAUAACCUUUGGGUAAUGAAAACAAACUUUGUUGCAAUGAAGCUUUCUUGGUAAUGUAAAAUUACUUGAAGUUAUCUUUAAUUUUAUUUGGAACAGUUUUAAAUGUUAUUUGCCAAGCUUGCUGUUACUUGACACUUUUUGAUGGUUUUCUGUAUUUGCCUAUUCCUAUCUAGUUAGCAUGUCCAGUGCCAGGAUCCCUUUUCAGUAAUUAUGGUGCCUUAAAUUCCUGAGGUAGCUUUAGAAAACAGACAAACAAACAAACAAACAAGCAAC